CACAUGCAAGUCGAACGGAAAGGCCCCUUCGGGGGUACUCGAGUGGCGAACGGGUGAGUAACACGUGGGUAAUCUGCCCUGCACUUCGGGAUAAGCCUGGGAAACUGGGUCUAAUACCGGAUAGGACCUCUUGGCGCAUGCCUUGAGGUGGAAAGCUUUUGCGGUGUGGGAUGGGCCCGCGGCCUAUCAGCUUGUUGGUGGGGUGAUGGCCUACCAAGGCGACGACGGGUAGCCGGCCUGAGAGGGUGUCCGGCCACACUGGGACUGAGAUACGGCCCAGACUCCUACGGGAGGCAGCAGUGGGGAAUAUUGCACAAUGGGCGCAAGCCUGAUGCAGCGACGCCGCGUGGGGGAUGACGGCCUUCGGGUUGUAAACCUCUUUCAGCAGGGACGAAGCGCAAGUGACGGUACCUGCAGAAGAAGCACCGGCCAACUACGUGCCAGCAGCCGCGGUAAUACGUAGGGUGCGAGCGUUGUCCGGAAUUACUGGGCGUAAAGAGCUCGUAGGUGGUUUGUCGCGUUGUUCGUGAAAUCUCACGGCUUAACUGUGAGCGUGCGAGCGAUACGGGCAGACUUGAGUACUGCAGGGGAGACUGGAAUUCCUGGUGUAGCGGUGGAAUGCGCAGAUAUCAGGAGGAACACCGGUGGCGAAGGCGGGUCUCUGGGCAGUAACUGACGCUGAGGAGCGAAAGCGUGGGGAGCGAACAGGAUUAGAUACCCUGGUAGUCCACGCCGUAAACGGUGGGUACUAGGUGUGGGUUUCCUUCCUUGGGAUCCGUGCCGUAGCUAACGCAUUAAGUACCCCGCCUGGGGAGUACGGCCGCAAGGCUAAAACUCAAAGGAAUUGACGGGGGCCCGCACAAGCGGCGGAGCAUGUGGAUUAAUUCGAUGCAACGCGAAGAACCUUACCUGGGUUUGACAUGCACAGGACGCCGGCAGAGAUGUCGGUUCCCUUGUGGCCUGUGUGCAGGUGGUGCAUGGCUGUCGUCAGCUCGUGUCGUGAGAUGUUGGGUUAAGUCCCGCAACGAGCGCAACCCUUGUCUCAUGUUGCCAGCGGGUAAUGCCGGGGACUCGUGAGAGACUGCCGGGGUCAACUCGGAGGAAGGUGGGGAUGACGUCAAGUCAUCAUGCCCCUUAUGUCCAGGGCUUCACACAUGCUACAAUGGCCGGUACAAAGGGCUGCGAUGCCGCGAGGUUAAGCGAAUCCUUUUAAAGCCGGUCUCAGUUCGGAUCGGGGUCUGCAACUCGACCCCGUGAAGUCGGAGUCGCUAGUAAUCGCAGAUCAGCAACGCUGCGGUGAAUACGUUCCCGGGCCUUGUACACACCGCCCGUCACGUCAUGAAAGUCGGUAACACCCGAAGCCAGUGGCCUAACCCUUUGGGAGGGAGCUGUCGAAGGUGGGAU
rnacentral:rRNA from 1 species